rnacentral:tRNA from 1 species
AUUUAUAUAGUUUUAAAUAAAACAUUUUAUUUUCAUUAAAAAAAAGGUGAAAACCUAUAAAUU